GACGAACGCUGGCGGCGUGCUUAACACAUGCAAGUCGAACGGAAAGGCCCUGCUUUUGUGGGGUGCUCGAGUGGCGAACGGGUGAGUAACACGUGAGUAACCUGCCCUUGACUUUGGGAUAACUUCAGGAAACUGGGGCUAAUACCGGAUAGGAGCUCCUGCUGCAUGGUGGGGGUUGGAAAGUUUCGGCGGUUGGGGAUGGACUCGCGGCUUAUCAGCUUGUUGGUGGGGUAGUGGCUUACCAAGGCUUUGACGGGUAGCCGGCCUGAGAGGGUGACCGGCCACAUUGGGACUGAGAUACGGCCCAGACUCCUACGGGAGGCAGCAGUGGGGAAUAUUGCACAAUGGGCGGAAGCCUGAUGCAGCAACGCCGCGUGCGUGAUGACGGCCUUCGGGUUGUAAACCGCUUUCGCCUGUGACGAAGCGUGAGUGACGGUAAUUAGUAAAGAAGCACCGGCUAACUACGUG
rnacentral:rRNA from 1 species